GACGUAGGGCGCGAGCGUUGUCCGGAUUUAUUGGGCGUAAAGAGCUCGUAGGCGGCUUGUCGCGUCGACCGUGAAAACUUGGGGCUCAACCCCAAGCCUGCGGUCGAUACGGGCAGGCUAGAGUUCGGUAGGGGAGACUGGAAUUCCUGGUGUAGCGGUGAAAUGCGUAGAUAUCGGGAGGAACACCAGUGGCGAAGGCGGCUGCCUGGGCCAGUUCUGACGCUGAGGCGCGAAAGCCAGGGGAGCAAACGGG
rnacentral:rRNA from 1 species